UCAUUCUUCUUCCUUCUUCUCCUUGUGUUCCUUCUUCUUCUCCACCAUUUUCUUUCGUAGGAUACCUUCUAUCAAGCCGCCACGACAUUAAUUCUCUCCGGCAUCGACUUUAGCGGCAGCAAUUUAUUUCAUGGAUUUCUACAUUUCUUCUCGACACCGCGUCGCACAGAUCCAUCUUCUCUGUUACGUUGUUGUUCUUCUUUACACAUCUUCUCUGUUACGUUGUUGUUCUUCUUCACACAUCACCGUUGUUUUCCUUCACUUCACAGAUCCAUCUUCACUUUACUCCAUCCGUAUUACCGUCACCUUAAAAAAGUGAACACCGAAAACCUAGAUCUGGGUGGUGGACUUGAGUUGAUCUCAGGGGAAAAAAACAUUUGGGCUUUUAAAAUCUAAAAACAUAUUUAGGAUUUGAAUAACUUAAGCCCAUUAUGCACAAAAGUUAAGCCCAGAAUGCAUAAAUUGACCCACAACGAUUUGGUUAACCGAUUAAAACCGAGAAAAAAAAUAUUCGGUGCAAUUUCGGUGAAUAAUAAAUCUUAUUAACCGAACCGAAAAACCCGAGUACCGAACCGAACCGAACCGAACUUUUAUUCUGUUCAAUUCGGCAGAAUUUUGUGUAGCCGAACAAACCGGAAAACCGAUUAAACCGAACCGUUUAACCCGAUUUAACCGAUCUCCCAGGCCUACAUAAUGUAGUUAACUUACGCUUCUUUAUCAACCUAAUUAUCUUGAACAUGGC
rnacentral:sRNA from 1 species